GACGAACGCUGGCGGCGUGCUUAACACAUGCAAGUCGAACGGAAAGGCCCUGCUUUUGUGGGGUGCUCGAGUGGCGAACGGGUGAGUAACACGUGAGUAACCUGCCCUUGACUUUGGGAUAACUUCAGGAAACUGGGGCUAAUACCGGAUAGGAGCUCCUGCUGCAUGGUGGGGGUUGGAAAGUUUCGGCGGUUGGGGAUGGACUCGCGGCUUAUCAGCUUGUUGGUGGGGUAGUGGCUUACCAAGGCUUUGACGGGUAGCCGGCCUGAGAGGGUGACCGGCCAAAUUGGGAAUGGGAUACGGCCCAGACGCCUACGGGAGGAAGGAGUGGGGAAUAUUGCACAAUGGGCGGAAGCCUGAUGCAGCAACGCCGCGUGCGGGAUGACGGCCUUCGGGUUGUAAACCGCUUUCGCCUGUGACGAAGCGUGAGUGACGGUAAUGGGUAAAGAAGCACCGGCUAACUACGU
rnacentral:rRNA from 1 species